UGUUUCAUAGGAGGCUAUAUAACUGCAAAGAGUUAUUUUAUUUGAAGUAACUUUAACCUCUAAUUUAUUUGUUUAAACAAUGCUGAUUAACUGUGACACUCUAACUAUUUAUAUCAUGAAACUUUAUAGACUGAAUCUAUACUGCUGAUAAAACCAUACAUAAAUACGCUGACAACUUCAGAAAUACAUACCAUAAUGUGUUCAGGAUUUUCUUCUGUCUCUGGAACAACUUUGGCAGCAUACAUGGGAUUUGGCGCAGAACCUUCCAAUUUGAUCACCGCCACUCUCAUGGCUGCACCAGCAGCACUUGCUUUUUCAAAAUUAUUUUAUCCAGAAACGGAGAAAAGCUUAACCACAGUUAAAGAGUUCCCACCUUAUAAAUCGGAAGAUUCAAGUCUCUUAGAUGCUGGUAUCAAGGGAGCACUUAAUGGAAUACCUAUCGUUCUUGGUAUAACAGCUAACAUAAUUGCAUUCACUUCUUUUGUUGCAUUUUUAAAUGCAUUACUUUCUUGGUUCGGUGGUCUUGUUGGAUACAAUGAAUUGACCUUCGAGUAUAUUCUUUCGAAAAGUUUCAUGCCGGUUAGUUGGAUCAUGGGUGUUCCAUGGGACAAUUGCGAUGACGUUGGUCACUUAAUAGGCCUAAAAGUGUCUGUAAAUGAAUUCGUAGCCUAUCAAAAACUAGGAGAAUACAAAUUUGAAGGAAGAUUGUCCCCCAGGACAGAAGCUAUUGCCACUUUUGCAAUUUGUGGUUUUUCUAAUCCUGCUGCUUUGGGAAUAUUUGCAGGUGCUCUUGCAACUAUUAUUCCAGAAAAAAAGACACAAGUUGCUGAAGUUGCAAUAAGAGCUGCAAUAGCUGGAAGCAUCGUCUGCUUCCUUACUGCAUGCACUGCUGGCAUGCUGAUGGACUAAAGUUACUUUUCUUCAUCCGCAAACAGGACAAGAUUAUAAGAAACCCAUAUUCUACAUGAUAACGUCUGAUGAUACAAAACCGAAAACGCUGCCCAUGAGCUGAAAAAAUCUGCUUAAAUGUUAAUCGCACGUGUCAGGAAUGAAAGUUGUAUUCAUAUUGUGCAAUUAAUAUAUUUUUCAUAAAAAAUUAAUUUAAAGAUAAUAUAUCUAAAAAAAAAGGUUUUACGG